AUUGAACGCUGGCGGCAGGCCUAACACAUGCAAGUCGAGCGGAUGAAGGGAGCUUGCUCCUGGAUUCAGCGGCGGACGGGUGAGUAAUGCCUAGGAAUCUGCCUGGUAGUGGGGGAUAACGUCCGUAAACGGGCGCUAAUACCGCAUACGUCCUGAGGGAGAAAGUGGGGGAUCUUCGGACCUCACGCUAUCAGAUGACCCUAGGUCGGAUUAGCUAGUUGGUGGGGUAAAGGCCUACCAAGGCGACGAUCCGUAACUGGUCUGAGAGGAUGAUCAGUCACACUGGAACUGAGAAACGGUCCAGACUCCUACGGGAGGCAGCAGUGGGGAAUAUUGGACAAUGGGCGAAAGCCUGAUCCAGCCAUGCCGCGUGUGUGAAGAAGGUCUUCGGAUUGUAAAGCACUUUAAGUUGGGAGGAAGGGCAGUAAGUUAAUACCUUGCUGUUUUGACGUUACCAACAGAAUAAGCACCGGCUAACUUCGUG
rnacentral:rRNA from 1 species